GUGACCUCAAAUCAGGUAGGACUACCCGCUGAACUUAAGCAUAUCAAUAAGCGGAGGAAAAGAAACUAACAAGGAUUCCCCUAGUAACUGCGAGUGAAGCGGGAAAAGCUCAAAUUUAAAAUCUGGCGGUCUUUGGCUGUCCGAGUUGUAAUCUAGAGAAGUGUUAUCCGCGCUGGACCGUGUACAAGUCUCCUGGAAUGGAGCAUCAUAGAGGGUGAGAAUCCCGUCUUUGACAUGGACUGCCAGGCUUUGUGAUGC
rnacentral:rRNA from 1 species